AAUCAACUGACAGGACCUUUGCCUCAAGACUCGGUUCUCUUUCCAAUCUCUUAAUCCUUCAGAUAGACUACAAUGAAAUUAGCGGAGAACUUCCAACGUCCUUGGCAAAACUGAAAAAACUGAAGCAUUUUCACAUGAACAACAACUCAAUCACGGGUCAGAUUCCGCCCGAGUACUCUUCCUUAACCGAUGUUUUGCACUUCUUAAUGGACAAUAACAAGCUAACCGGAAAUCUUCCACCGGAGCUCUCUCAGAUGCCAAGCUUGAGAAUUCUACAAUUGGACGGUAAUAACUUUGAUGACACUGAGAUACCACCUUCUUACGGAUCGAUACCACAUCUUGUCAAACUGAGUCUCAGAAACUGCAAAUUAAAUGGACCAAUUCCUGAUUUAAGCCAAUCACCAUUUCUCUAGUACUUAGAUAUUUCCUCCAACAAACUCACAGGAAAAAUUCACAAGAACAAGUUCUCUGCAAACAUUACAACUAUUAACUUAUACAACAAUAUGCUCAACGGAUCCAUCCCUUCAAACUUUUCUGGCCUUCCUCGGUUACAGAGAC